rnacentral:rRNA from 1 species
GACAGAGGGUGCAAACGUUGUUCGGAAUUACUGGGCGUAAAGGGCGCGUAGGCGGCCUCCGCAAGUCAGUUGUGAAAUCUCCGAGCUUAACUCGGAAAGGUCAACUGAUACUGCGGGGCUAGAGUGCGGAAGGGGCAACUGGAAUUCUUGGUGUAGCGGUGAAAUGCGUAGAUAUCAAGAGGAACACCUGCGGCGAAGGCGGGUUGCUGGGCCGACACUGACGCUGAGGCGCGAAAGCUAGGGGAGCGAACGGG